rnacentral:rRNA from 1 species
AUUGAACGCUAGCGGGAUGCUUUACACAUGCAAGUCGAACGAGUGGCGGACGGGUGAGUAAUGUAUCGGCACGUGCCCAGUAGCGGGGGAUCACUACUCGAAAAAGUGUCUAAUACCGCAUACUAUUCGAGUGGGCGAUAUCGGAUUAGCUAGUUGGUGGGGUAAAGGCUCACCAAGGCAACGAUCCGUAGCUGGUUCGAGAGGACGACCAGCAACACUGGGACUGGAAACCGGCCCGGACUCCUAGGGGAGGAAGCAGUGGGGAAUUUUGGACAAUGGGGGAAGCCCGGAUCCGGCCAUCCGGCGGGUAUGAGAAGGCCUUCGGGUGGUAAAGUACUUUUGGCAGGGAAGCGGUAUCUGCAGAAUAAGCACCGGCUAACUACGUGCCAGCAGCCGCGGUAAUAC